rnacentral:rRNA from 1 species
CUUCUUGCUUCAGGGGAGGGUUUUGGGAACGAACGAUAAGGUAUGCGGUGUUCUCGGUACUCGCGGCGGUCGAGCCUGAGGCGACUUUAGCGGUGACGGAGGUUUGCGGGCAAGCUAGGGAUGGAACGGCUGGGCAGCGGCGGAAGGUUUGAGGUCGCCAAGAGGGUCAGUUUGUAGAGCGGCCGCCUGCGUCUGUCGCCGCCUCUCCGCCCGCGGCUUUCGCUCCGCUACCGGCCGCGCGCCGAGAGGGCCUGCGUCGCUAUGGACCAGCGGCACCUCAUGCUACCGUGGGCGAAGAGACCAAGGGUCGUCGUCGGCUUGGUCGCGUGGCAGCAUCCGCAGGAGUUCCUCCGUAAAGUGUUUAAGUAACCCGUCGGUCAGAGUUAGAAGACAAGAUCAGCUUGCCUACGUCCACAAGUACGAAACAGUUUACAAACAGUACAACUACACCUCGCGUAUUCAUUUUCCUUCGGACCACUUCACAACGGUGGAGUACUGGGACUUCAACAUUUUACGCGCCACUUGGUAAAAAAUGUAUUCUUACUUCCACUGUAUUACCACUGACUACAAGCAACACAACGUGGUCUAAAGGUACGAUCUAUGUUUCGAGAUCUCGCGUGUAUAGUGAUAGCAAAUGAAAGACCCGGACUCGCUGGCAGUUAGAAACUCUUUUUGAGCCGAACCGUGUAUGGACUCCUAGAUUUAUAUGUUCGAUACUUCUUUCGUACGUUAUAUGAACAACCCGUAGUACUAAAGUCAAGUAAAGCUCGUAAACCUACAGUCCGUUUUAGAGGUCACUCUUGAAACCUACUCGAAUGACAAUGUCUUCAUAAAGGACAGUACAAAAAAGGAAGUUCGAAUCUCGCUAGUCUCUACCUUAGUGGUCUACCCAGAGAACAAAUAAGUUCCCGUAGUGAGUACCCUAGAAGACCUCUUCCUAGACUACAAAGAUCAUGAUGAUCACCCUUUAGUCAUACGCUCUUACCCGUUCUCAAACCUUUCUCUAAUUCCGUGGCGACGAAACAACAAUGACGUUCCCGUGUCAGAAAGGAAAUGGUGGUCCAUUCUAACUACCAGCCAGAAGACUUUCGACAACCUUAUCCUCUAGAUUGUUGACGACUACACCUCUCUUAAGACCUACGUUUCUGUUACUGACGACGUGGAGGAUACCGUGGACGAAUGCCCGAAAUGGAACUGUUGCACUUUAUACUGGGCUGACAAAUUUCACUAAAACUCGAACUCAAAACAAUCGAUAACCUAUACAUCCUAUUCAAAAAGCUUAGUUACCUACUUACUUCACAACUUUCUUCUACAGUGUUUCCUUGGACCGAACAGUAGAAAACAAGUCUUAAUACACAAAGGGUAUUAUAUGAAAACACUCUACGUAAAGAAUAACAUCACUCAAAGACGUAGUUCUCCCAGUCUAUCAAUCGGCUCAUUGUAAGACCAAUGGACUUAACUCCCAACUUACUGAUAGGUAUAGCCCUUAUUAAAAACGCGUG